rnacentral:pre_miRNA from 1 species
AAUAAGUGCAGUCAUAGAUAUCCGUGUUCAACGUUUGACCGUCCGUCUUAUUUGAAAAAUUUAAAAAUAUUUAGUCAUACAUAAAAUACUAUUCAUGUUUUAUCAUCUAAUAGUAAUAAAAAUACUAAUCAUAAAAUAUUUUCAAAUAAGACGAACGGUCAAACGUUAAACAUGAAUAGUGUAAAACUGCACUUAUU